UACGAAGGGGGCGAGCGUUGUUCGGAUUUACUGGGCGUAAAGGGCGCGCAGGCGGCUCAUUUUGUCAGGCGUGAAAGCCCCGGGCUUAACCUGGGAACUGCGUCUGAUACUGGAUGGCUUGAGAUUGGGAGAGGGAUGCGGAAUUCCAGGUGUAGCGGUGAAAUGCGUAGAUAUCUGGAGGAACACCGGUGGCGAAGGCGGCAUCCUGGACCAACACUGACGCUGAGGAGCGAAAGCCAGGGGAGCAAACGGG
rnacentral:rRNA from 1 species